AGUGAACGCUGGCGGCAGGCCUAACACAUGCAAGUCGAACGGCAGCACAAGAGAGCUUGCUCUCUGGGUGGCGAGUGGCGGACGGGUGAGGAAUGCAUCGGAAUCUGCCCAUUUGUGGGGGAUAACCUCGGGAAACCGGGACUAAUACCGCAUACGACCUACGGGUGAAAGCAGGGGAUCUUCGGACCUUGCGCAGAUGGAUGAGCCGAUGCCGGAUUAGCUAGUUGGAGGGGUAAAGGCCCACCAAGGCGACGAUCCGUAGCUGGUCUGAGAGGAUGAUCAGCCACACUGGGACUGAGGCACGGCCCAGACCCCUACGGGAGGCAGCAGUGGGGAAUAUUGGACAAUGGGCGCAAGCCUGAUCCAGCCAUGCCGCGUGUGUGAAGAAGGCCUUCGGGUUGUAAAGCACUUUUGUUGGGAAAGAAAAGCAGCCGGUUAAUACCCGGUUGUCAUGACGGUACCCAAAGAAUAAGCACCGGCUAACUUCGUG
rnacentral:rRNA from 1 species